UGGGGAAUCUUGCGCAAUGGGGGAAACCCUGACGCAGCAACGCCGCGUGCGGGAAGAAGGCUUUCGGGUUGUAAACCGCUUUCAGCAGGAACGAAAAUGACGGUACCUGCAGAAGAAGGUGCGGCCAACUACGUGCCAGCAGCCGCGGUGAUACGUAGGCACCAAGCGUUGUCCGGAUUUAUUGGGCGUAAAGAGCUCGUAGGCGGUUCGGUAAGUCAGGUGUGAAAACUUUGGGCUUAACCCAAAGCCUGCACCUGAUACUGCUGUGACUUGAGUUCGGUAGGGGAGCGGGGAAUUCCUAGUGUAGCGGUGAAAUGCGCAGAUAUUAGGAGGAACACCAGUGGCGAAGGCGCCGCUCUGGGCCGAUACUGACGCUGAGGAGCGAAAGCGUGGGGAGCAAACAGG
rnacentral:rRNA from 1 species